CCUACGGGUGGCAGCAGUGGGGAAUAUUGCACAAUGGGGGAAACCCUGAUGCAGCGACGCCGCGUGAGUGAAGAAGUAAUUCGUUAUGUAAAGCUCUAUCAGCAGGGAAGAAAAUGACGGUACCUGAGUAAGAAGCCCCGGCUAACUACGUGCCAGCAGACGCGGUAAUACGUAGGGGGCAAGCGUUAUCCGGAUUUACUGGGUGGAAAGGGAGCGUAGACGGCAGUGCAAGUCUGGAGUGAAAGGCGGGGGCUCACCCCCCGGACUGUUCUGGAAACUGUACGGCUGGAGUGCAGGAGAGGUAAGUGGAAUUCCUAGUGUAGCGGUGAAAUGCGUAGAUAUUAGGAGGAACACCAGUGGCGAAGGCGGCUUACUGGACUGUAACUGACGUUGAGGCUCGAAAGCGUGGGGAGCAAACAGGAUUAGAUACCCGUGUGUC
rnacentral:rRNA from 1 species